AGUGGCGAACGGGUGAGUAAUACAUCGGAACGUGCCCAGUAGUGGGGAAUAGCUCGGCGAAAGCCGGAUUAAUACCGCAUACGACCUAUGGGUGAAAGCGGGGGAUCGCAAGACCUCGCGCUAUUGGAGCGGCCGAUGUCAGAUUAGGUUGUUGGUGGGGUAAAAGCCUACCAAGCCGACGAUCUGUAGCUGGUCUGAGAGGACGACCAGCCACGCUGGGACUGAGACACGGCCCAGACUCCUACGGGAGGCAGCAGUGGGGAAUUUUGGGCAAUGGGCGAAAGCCUGAUCCAGCCAUGCCGCGUGCGGGAAGAAGGCCUUCGGGUUGUAAACCGCUUUUGUCAGGGAAGAAAUCUUUCGAGCUAAUACCUUGAGAGGAUGACGGUACCUGAAGAAUAAGCACCGGCUAACUACGUGCCAGCAGCCGCGGUAAUACGUAGGGUGCAAGCGUUAAUCGGAAUUACUGGGCGUAAAGCGUGCGCAGGCGGUUGUGCAAGACAGGUGUGAAAUCCCCGGGCUUAACCUGGGAACUGCACUUGUGACUGCACAGCUGGAGUACGGCAGAGGGGGAUGGAAUUCCGCGUGUAGCAGUGAAAUGCGUAGAUAUGCGGAGGAACACCGAUGGCGAAGGCAGUCCCCUGGGCCUGUACUGACGCUCAUGCACGAAAGCGUGGGGGAGCAAACAGGAUUAGAUACCCUGGUAGUCCACGCCCU
rnacentral:rRNA from 1 species